rnacentral:tRNA from 1 species
GCGGAAAUGUCGGAAUGGCAGACGAGCAAGAUUCAGAUUCUUGUGUGGGUUACCACGUGUGGGUUCAAGUCCCAUUUUCCGCACUA